rnacentral:rRNA from 1 species
GCACGAGGCUUCGGCCUAUUGGCGAACGGGUGAGUAACACGUGGGUGACCUGCCCUCUGGAGGGGGAUAACCCGGGGAAACCCGGGCUAAUACCGCGUAUGGCCUACGGGUCAGAGACUUCGGUCGCCAGAGGAUGGGCCCGCGUCCCAUUAUUUAAUCCUUGUUGGUAGGGUAACGGCCUACCAAGGGUACGAUGGGUAGCUGGUCUGAGAGGACGAUCAGCCACACUGGGACUGAGACACGGCCCAGACUCCUACGGGAGGCAGCAGUGGGGAAUAUUGCGCAAUGGGCGAAAGCCUGACGCAGCCACGCCGCGUGAGUGAUGAAGGCCUUCGGGUUGUAAAGCUCUGUCGGGAGGGAAGAAGAUCUGACGGUACCUCCCAAGAAAGCGCCGGCUAACUCCGUGCCAGCAGCCGCGGUAAUACGGAGGGCGCAAGCGUUGCUCGGAAUCACUGGGCGUAAAGCGGACGCAGGCGGCUUGCCAAGUCAGGUGUGAAAGCCCGGGGCUCAACCCCGGAAUUGCACUUGAAACUGGCAACCUGGAGUACGGGAGAGGAGAGCGGAAUUCCUGGUGUAGAGGUGAAAUUCGUAGAUAUCAGGAGGAACACCAGUGGCGAAAGCGGCUCUCUGGCCCGAUACUGACGCUGAGGUCCGAAAGCGUGGGUAGCAAACAGGAUUAGAUACCCUGGUAGUCCACGCCGUAACGAUGAGUGCUAGCUGGUGGGUUUGUUUACCGACUUACCGGCGAAGCUAACGCAUUAAGCACUCCGCCUGGGGAGUACGGCCGCAAGGCUAAAAC